CCCUCGUGGAAGUCAUAAAACGUAAAAUCCCAUUUAUCCAGUGGGAAUUUCGGGUUAACCCUUCUUAAUGCACCUCUAGGAUACUCAAGAUAUACCGUGUGUGCCAAAUUUCAAAUCUUAAGGAUAAGCUUUGCGUUGUCUGUCAGUCACUAAGUAACGGAAGAGUUUUACAUAAAUUGAUUAAUUAAUGGUUGAUGUUUUAAGAUUUCUUGCUACGGGCCGAACAUAUACAGAUUUACAGUAUUCAUUUAGGAUGGGAAUCGCAACAAUCAGUAAGAUCGUGGACGAAUGGGACGAAGUGUGUAAAGUAACAUAGAAAACGCUAUACAAUGAAUGCAUACCAUCAAAUACACCUGAUAUGUGGCUAAUUAUUGCUAACGGUUUUCUACAAAAGACCAACUUUCCAAAUUGCAUUGGAGCUAUUGAUGGCAAGCACAUCCGAAUCGUAAAUCCAACCGGCGGUGGAUCAAGAUCAAUGUGGAUCAAUUCCAAAACAGUACACUACAGGAGCCUUGAACAAAACACUUUAAAAUAUAUUCCUAGACCGAAUCAUGCCUGGGACAAAUACUCCAGUUGAACAUGUAAAUGUGGGUGAUGGUUUUGGCAUAUUCAAUAAAAUUAAAAAGCCAUAUUAUGCACGAUCCGAUAUGACCCACACGAAAAAAAUAUUCAAUUAUACAUUGAGCCGUAGUAGAUGAUACAUAGAAUCGACAUUUGGUAUGAUGUCAAACAAGUUCAGAGUGUUUCAUACACCUAUUAAUGUGAGUUUUGAUGUGACAAAGAAUAUAGUUAUAGCAUGCUGCGUAUUGCAUAACUUUAUAAUAAUUCGCGAUGUUUAUCGUAUUGAAGACACACAAUUAUUGAGGGUAUGGUAGACUUGCCAACUGUACCUACAAACAGGUCUGGACACGCUCUGCGAGAACAUUUUGCUGAGUACUUUGUGAGCCCUAUUGGAAGGGUGCCCUCGCAAGAUUCGUGUAUAUUUUAACUUGAAAAGGCUGUAGUGUAGGUAUUCAGAUAAUAAAAUAAGAAAGUAAACAAACCUAGUUGUUUUGUACAAUUUUUAUUAAAGAUUUCAUAUUAGUGAUAGUUUUGCUGAGGCGAAAUAUUUUUUGUACUAAUGAUCUAUUCUUUUUCAUAAGUGUUUCUUCUCGCGAUGAUUUUAGUCUUGUUUGCACACUUUUAUUAGCGCAGGAGACUUGAACAGGAGAAGUGCUUCUGUCCAUGACCUGAAAAACAAAAAUAUUGUAAAAACUAAUACUUUUUAACCGACUUCAUAUGACGGAGUAGUGUUAGUUGAAGACGCUUCUAAAAUAACAAGUCAAAUUUUAGAUAAAUAUAUUUAAAAAAUCUAUUACUAUAAUUGAACUGUAUAUAACGACACUCCUCUCAAACUAAAAUCUGUCAAUCUCUUUUGGCUACAGAGGUGCUAAAGAAAUAUUCAUCCAUAUGAACAUUUGGAAAAAUAACGGGUAAAUACGAAACACGCAUCAUAAUACCUAACAAUUUUUAACAACCCAAUGCUAAUAAUAUUAAAAUGUCCUUACUUUUUUGGGUGUCAAAGUUUCCUUAAUGAGCAUGUUUUCCGUUCCAGCUUCCAAAAUGUCUCUUAGUAUACACCGCGGUUUUUUACAAAUAGAGACAAUUACAUUUUCUUCAGUAGCAUCACGCAGCGGCAAUGAUUCCUGAAAAUAAAUGAAAAUCUGUAUAGUAUAUUUUUAAGACUUGGUAUGAUAUAGGAAGGAUUUAAUGGUUUAUAUUUAUUAAUCUUUUUAUUACUUUUCUUAGGGUUCGUACCCAAAGGAUAAAAAUGGAAGCUAUUACUGAGAAUCAGCCGGUUUAGCAUGAAAACGGAUCAUACAUACAUAUGUAUUUAUAAUAUUAGUAGGGAAAAAGGGAUUAAAAUAAUAUCCACUCCAAAUUUCAGGCUGGUAGAUCAGGCGUGUUACUAUUAAAAACAGACAGACACACAAAAAUUUCAAUGACUGCGAUGAGUUGUAGUCUAUGGCGCUCGGGCAUGAUACACUGCUUUGAUCUUAACCCAUUGAGCCCCGAGCAGCCCAAUCGGGCCACGACGGUUUCUAUUGUGUCUGAGAUUCCGGGGGCUGAGUUAUUAAAGGUGUGGUGUCAUUAAUCACUGACAUUCAAUGAUCAAACACAGUUUUCUGAACAAGAAGUAUGAGAAGUAACAAGUUACAAAAGAAUAUGUAACUACAUACCUGUAAC